rnacentral:rRNA from 1 species
GACGUAGGGCGCGAGCGUUGUCCGGAUUUAUUGGGCGUAAAGAGCUCGUAGGCGGCUUGUCGCGUCGAAUGUGAAAACCUGCGGCUCAACUGCAGGCUUGCAUUCGAUACGGGCAGGCUCGAGUUCGGUAGGGGAGACUGGAAUUCCUGGUGUAGCGGUGAAAUGCGCAGAUAUCAGGAGGAACACCGAUGGCGAAGGCAGAUCUCUGGGCCGUAACUGACGCUGAGGAGCGAAAGCAUGGGGAGCGAACAGG